AACGCCAGAUCCUUAACCCACUAAGUGAGGCCAGGGAUCGAACCGUCAACCUCAUGGUUCCUAGUUGGAUUCAUUUUUGUUGCACCACAACCAUGUUGUGCAAUUUUUUUUAAGUCAACAUACAUAAAAUUUGCCAUUUAACCAUUUUUACGUGUACAAUUCAGUGGAAUUAAGUAUACUCACAAUGUUGUACAGCCAUCACCACUAGCUCUUUCCAAAAUUUUUUUAUCACUCCAAACAGUAACUGUGCACCCAUUAAGCAAUAACUCCCUACUGCUCCCUCCCCCAGACCCUGGUAACCUUUAAAUCUAUUUUCUGUCUCUAUGAAAUUGCCUAUUCUAGAUACCUCACAUAAAUGGAAUCAGAUAUUUGCCUUUCUGUGUCUGCCUUAUUUAACUCAGCAUAAUGUCCUUAAGGUUCAUCCAUAUCACAGCAUGUGUCCAGAACCUCAUUCCUUUUUACAACUGAGUAAUAUACCAUUAUAUGUUGUGAUAUGGUGAUUUAUAUCAGGAAGUAUAUAUUUGGUUUUUGUUCCCAUUUAUAGCACAAGAGCUUUGAAAACACUUGGAAUUCUAAGUAAUGAGAGAAAUAAAGGCUUCUUCAGUGCUGUGAAUGAGGUGACUUUUGGAAUGCCCCUAGGUCACCUAAGAAUGGGGGCUGGUUGCUGGGGGAACUAACUGAUGGGAGGUUGGAAAUUUCUGUCCCAUCCCCUAUCCUCUGGGAGGGGAGAGGAUAGAAUCAUAACCAGUGUAUGUUGAUUUAAUUAAUUCUAUUUAAUGAAGUCUCCAUAAAACCCCAAAAGGACAGGGUUUGGAGAGCUUCCAGGCUCGUUUGUGUUCAUGUGGAGAUGUGAAGGAGGGUGGUGCUCCUGGAGAGGGCGCAGAAGCUCAGCACCCUGUCCCCAUACCUUGUCCUAUGCACCUCUUCUGUCUGGUUUUUCUCAGGUUAUAUCCUUUUACAAUAAACCCAUAAUCUAGUACAUAAAAGGGUUUCCCAAGUUCUGUGAACCACUCCAGCAAAUUAAUUGAACCCAAAGAGGGGACCACAGGAACCUGUGAUUCACAGCCUGUGGGUCAGGAGCACAUGGACUUGUGAUUGGCAUCUGGAGCACAGGGUAGUCUUGUAGGUCUGAGCCCCUGACCAGGGUAGGGAGUAUCAAAAUGGAGUUAAAUCGUAGGCCACCUAAGUGGCAUCAGAGCACUGUUUGUUGAGGAAGCCCCCCCCCCCUUGCUUUCUUGCCAUGAUGGAACUGGCUUCAGAACACUUUGUAUGUAUACACCACAUUUCGUCAACCAAUUCUUCUUAAUGGACACUUGAGUUGUUUUAACCUUUUGGAUAUCGUGAAUAAUGCUAUUCUGAAUGUUGGUAUAAAAAUAUCUGAGUCGGAGUUCCCAUCGUGGCGCAGUGGUUAACGAAUCCGACUAGGAACCAUGAGGUUGCGGGUUCGGUCCCUGCCCUUGCUCAGUGGGUUAACGAUCUGGCGUUGCCCUGAGCUGUGGUGUAGGUUGCAGACGCGGCUCAGAUCCUGCAUUGCUGUGGCUCUGGUGUAGGCCAGUGGCUACAGCUCCAAUUCGACCCCUAGCCUGGGAACCUCCAUACGCCGUGGGAGUGGCCCAAAAAAUAGCAAAAAGACAAAAAAAAAAAAAAAUCUGAGUCCAUUUUUUUAUUCUUUUGGGUAUGCAUGUUGGAGUUGAAUUGCUGGGUGAUAUAGUCAUUCUACAUUUAACUCUUUGAGGAACUGACAAACUCUUUUCUAUACCAGCCACACCACUGUACAUUUCCACCAACAAUGCAUGUGAAUCUCUCUCACUCCUAUUUUCUUUUUUUUUUUUUCUUUUUUGGUCAUGGCAGGCAGCAGCUUGAUGUGGGGGUCUCAACUCCAAGACCAAGGACUGAACCCAGGCCACAGUGGUGAAAGUUCCAAAUCUUAACCACUGGGCCACCAGGGAACUCCUUAAAUCCCUAAUAUUUAAGGUGAAGAAAUCAAGAUAGUUAGAUGGUUAGACCAUAUAGUCAACUGCAGAGCUGACAUCAGAAACCAAGUAUCUACACUCCCAAUCCAGUCCUCUUUCAAAGUUUAGCUCUACUAGUUAACUCAUUUAACUCAUCAUUUAACUCAGAUGAUCAGGCAAAUGGAAGCAAAGUCUACCCAAAGACUGGGCCAUUGGAAAUAGACAAAUCAAUAUAUUGGAGGAAACAAUUUGAAUUAAGUUCUGAAUUUUGCUCUCCAUAAUGGAGAGAAUUUUGUUUUAUUCUUUUCUUCUUUAGGUUUAAACUCUAGGAGAAGAUUUAGUCAUACUUACCCUUAGCCUAGAACCAAACUGUAGAAUAAUCAUAGAAACAUUUUUGUAUCAUUAUUAGUCUUACCAUUCUAAAUUAAGGGUUUUUUUUUUUUUUAAAGAAAUCCUUGAGAUGCAAUAAAUACUUAUUUUAGAGAAGUUAGAAAUUUGGAAAGGUGGAAAGGAAAAAGAAAAGGUCACUUAGCUGUCAACCAGAAAAAUAACUGUUAACUUUUCAGUACUUUUUUCCCAGGCUUCCCCCUCCCUCCAAUACAUAAGUGUUUUCGCUUGCUAUGUAUGGUUGAAAUUAUAGAAUCUUUUUUUUUUUUUGGUCACACAUGUGGCAUAUGGGCCAGGUAGGGGAUCAAACCUAUAUCACCGAAGAGACAAUGCCUUAUCCUUAACCUACUGUGCCACAGCAAGAACUCCUAGAAUCUUAAAGCUUAAGAAAAUUAUUAUAAUUUGGGGUGCAAGCUUAAAAAACAAAAUAAGGAUGGAAUUCCCUUGUGGUACAGCAGGUUAAGGAUCCAGCGUUGUCACUGCAGAAGCUCGGGUAGCUGCUGUGGCAUGGGUUUGAUUCCUGGCCUAAGAACUUUAUAUGCCAUGGGUGCAGAAAGAAAAAAAAAAACAGAAUAAGGAAAAAUUUAGUUUAGGGCCUAGGAAUGCAUGCAAAAUAGAGUCAGCACUCCUUCCUACCAAUUCACAGCCCUCACAGGCUUAGGACAUCCCUUUCGUAAGAUAAGUUUGUCCCUGGAGUUCCUGUGGUGGCACAGCAGAAACAAAUCCAACUAGGAACCAUGAGAUUGUGGGUUCAAUCUCUGGCCUUGCUCAGUGGGUUAAGGAUCUGGCGUUGCUGUGAGCUGUGGCGUAGGUCGAAGAUGCAGCUUGGCUCCAAGGUUGCUGCAGCCCUUAACUUACCUGUCCAUGUGGAAAUGUGUCAUUUACCUAAAUAAAAAAGCUCCAAGGACAUGGCCACAUGUUAUACUAGUUUGUUUCCUCCCGAAUACCACACAGAGUGCUACAAAUACAGUAGGUACUCAGCGAAGAACUUCAGAAUGACAUUACUGAUUUUAUACCAUCUUCAAGGUUAAUACUGCUCAGAAUUUCCAUAAGGGGUCCGUGACACCCAGUCUUGGCAGGAUUUCACAUUCCAAGAAAUUUGGUUCAGUUAUCAAAAGUAAUUAGAAAGUCACUUGAGGAGUUCCUGUUGUGGCUCAGUGGAAAUGAACCUGACUAGUAUCCAUGAGGAUUCAAGUUCUACCCCUGGCCUCGCUCUGGCACUGCCGGGAGCUGUGGUAUAGACUGCAGACACAGCUCAGAUCCUGUGUUGCUGUGGCUGUGGUGUAGGUCGGCAGCUAUAGCUCAGAUUAGACUCCUAGCCCAGGAAUUUCCAUAUGCUGCAGGUGCAGCCCUAAAAAGCAAAUGAUGAUGAUGAUGAUAAGUCAUUUGAAUCUUUACUUCCAUUACUUGAAUAUUAUAAGGAAAUUCAACUCGUGACCCAUAAUAGCACUUCUUAAAAUCUCUUUGUCCCCAUUUUUUUUUCACUUCAGUACAUGUCAAGUCCAUGGCUGAUUCAGGUCCCAGUCGCAAAAUCUUCACCAAAAAUUCUCUCUAAACUUCGUCUCCUGUGGUUCUCGGUUCUUUUCUUCCCCUUUCCUUUAACUUCUAUUUCUUCUUCCUUUCAGCCAAUAAAUUACAAUUGUUUGUAUCAUCUUGCCAUUCAUUCCUGUUUCUUCAACUCAGCCCCCCUCUCCUCAGUCUCUGUGCAAGGGGAGCUCAGGAAAGAAGUUGGCACACACUCUCCUGGAAGGAGACCCAGGAAUUAGGACUUCGGGGAGGUGGGGGAGAGGAGAGGGGAGAAAAAUGACACAUGCUUACAAUGUGGUGUCUUUUUUUAAUUCUCAUCACACAAAGAAAUUUUCAUAUAUUAUUUAUUCAGAGUGGGCUACAUGAAAGUUCUUUGGGGAAAAAUAGGUAAGUUGUAAAGGUAAAAUGAUGAAAUUUUCUUUGAGGAAGGAGGUCACUGCCUCUCCACCCUUUCCUCUCUAGGGUGUCAUCUUGAGGGCAUAAAAUGGCCUCAUAGAAAUGAUCUGACCUUCAUUUCUCCAAAGAUAUACAGCAGGCACAUGUAAAAAUGUCCAGCAUCACUAAUUAUUAGAGAAAUGCAAAUCAAAACUAUAAUCGGGUAUAUACUUCACUUUGGUCAGAAUGGCUAUCAUCAAAAUGUCUACAAACAAAAAAUGCUGGAGAUAGUGUGGCACAAAGGGACCCCACCUCCAGUGAUGGUGGGAAUGUAAACUGGCGUAGCUACUAUAAAGAACAGUAUAAAAGUUCCUCAAAAAACCAAAAAUAGAGUUUUCAAAGGAUCCAGCAAUCCCAUUUCCAGGCAUAUAUCCAGAGAAUACUGUAAUUUGAAAAGAUACAUGCACUUCAAUGGUUUUUGCAGCACUAUUUACAACAGCCAAGACAUGAAAACCACCUAAAUGUCCAUUGAGAGAUUAAUGGAUAAAGAAGAUGUAGUAUAUGUACAAUGAAUAUUACUCAGCCAUAAAAAAGCAUGAAAUAAUGCCAUUUGCAGCAACAUGGAUAGCCCUAGAAAUUAUCAUGCUAAGCCAAAGACAAAUAUAUCACUUACAUGUGGAAUCUUAAAAAAAAAAAAAAGAUACAAGUGAACUUAUAGACAUUGAAAACAAACUUAUGGUUACCAAAGAGGAAAGGGCAGGGUGAGGGAUAAAUUAGGAGGUUGGAAUUAACAUAUACACACUACUACACAUAAAACAGAUAAGUAACAAGGACCUACUAUACAGCACAGAGAAUGAUACUCAAUAUUUUGUAAUAAGCUACAAGGGAAAAGAAUCUGCAAAAGAAUACAAAUAUAUAUGUAUGUAUAAUGAAUCAUUAUGCUGUACACCUGAAAUGAACACAAGAGUGCAAAGCAACUACACGUAAAUAAAUAAAAGUGAUAAACCAAAACCAAAAUAGUAACCCCUCAAAAAAAAAAAAAAAA
rnacentral:lncRNA from 1 species